GACAGAGGGGGCAAGCGUUGUUCGGAUUUACUGGGCGUAAAGGGCGCGUAGGCGGUCAGCACAAGUCAGUUGUGAAAUCUCCGGGCUUAACUCGGAAAGGUCAACUGAUACUGUGCGACUAGAGUGCAGAAGGGGCAACUGGAAUUCUCGGUGUAGCGGUGAAAUGCGUAGAUAUCGAGAGGAACACCUGCGGCGAAGGCGGGUUGCUGGGCUGACACUGACGCUGAUGCGCGAAAGCCAGGGGAGCGAACAGG
rnacentral:rRNA from 1 species